CCCUUAGAUGUUCUGGGCCGCACGCGCGCUACACUGACGAAUGCAACGAGCUUAUAACCUUGGCCGAAAGGUCUGGGUAAUCUCCAAAUUUCGUCGUGAUGGGGAUAGAUUAUUGCAAUUAUUAAUCUUCAACGAGGAAUGCCUAGUAAGCGCAGGUCAUUAGCCUGCGCUGAUUACGUCCCUGCCCUUUGUACACACCGCCCGUCGCUACUACCGAUUUCGAGUGGUCCGGUGAAGCUUUUGGACUGCGCGUGGCUUCGUGCCGUGUCGCGGAAAGUCAGCUAAACCUUAUCACUUAGAGGAAGUAAAAGUCGUAACA
rnacentral:rRNA from 1 species